rnacentral:rRNA from 1 species
UGGCGGCGUGCCUAACACAUGCAAGUCGAGCGAGGAGAGUCCUUCGGGAUGAUCCUAGCGGCGGACGGGUGGAGUAACGACGUGGGCAACCUGCCUCAUAGAGAGGAAUAGCCUUCCGAAAGGGAGAUUAAUACCUCAUAACAUCGCAGUUUCGCAUGGAACAGCAAUUAAAGGAGUAAUCCGCUAUGAGAUGGGCCCGCGGCGCAUUAGCUAGUUGGUGAGGUAACGGCUCACCAAGGCGACGAUGCGUAGCCGACCUGAGAGGGUGAUCGGCCACAUUGGGACUGAGACACGGCCCAGACUCCUACGGGAGGCAGCAGUGGGGAAUAUUGCACAAUGGGGGGAAACCCUGAUGCAAGCAACGCCGCGUGAGUGAUGACGGCCUUCGGGUUGUAAAGCUCUGUCUUCAGGGACGAUAAUGACGGUACCUGAGGAGGAAGCCACGGCUAACUACGUGCCAGCCGCAGC